UACGAAGGGUGCAAGCGUUAAUCGGAAUUACUGGGCGUAAAGGGUGCGUAGGCGGUUCGUUAAGUCUGUCGUGAAAGCCCCGGGCUCAACCUGGGAACCGCGCUUGAGACUGGCACGCUCGAGUUCGGGAGAGGAUGGUGGAAUUCCCAGUGUAGAGGUGAAAUUCGUAGAUAUUGGGAAGAACACCGAUGGCGAAGGCAGCCAUCUGGACCGACACUGACGCUGAGGCGCGAAAGCGUGGGGAGCAAACAGG
rnacentral:rRNA from 1 species